CAUGGAGUUUGUGCAGCCAUAACUUGAAUGCAACACUUAAAUUUUCAAACAAGACUACAUGAAAAAAUGAAACAUAUUAAGUGGAAAGAUCAUGCAGAUAGUACAUUGAAAUUUAUAAAAUCGAAGAACAAACCAAAAACUUACAAGGAGCACAAGGAGCAAAAAUCAGCCAAGAUAUGAUGAAGUGACCAGACACGGUAACAAGUAGACAUAUUUAUAGUGGAAAAAUUCUCUAUUAUUAGAAGACACUAUGCGGUCAGAAAAAAUUGGAAGGCAUUAUGCGGUUUGCUCCUUCAAUCCCACAGUAGCGCCAAGCACACAAGCAAGUUUGCCGCGUCUGUCCUGGUGUUCUUCAUCUCUUUUGGUUUUUCGUUCAUGUGCGCCAUGCCAAAUUGGAGAAAUUGUGGCCGUUGGGAUUUUAACAUGAGAGCAUCAUUUAUUCUUCAACUAGCUGGCUACCUCGAGGGCAUGUCGUUGAAGAAUGAAUUGGAUGGCAUAAGAUGCUCUAGGUUGUUCAGACUUCAGACAAAAAGUAGCUGCUUAUUUGAAACCAAAGGCUUGCUUUACACCUUUUGCGUGGCAAAUAAACUGACGGCUUGGUAUGAGAAGAGAGGACGCUACUUGGUCAGCUCUAAAACCUGAGCUCUUCUGCAAUAGAUGGCAGGCCAUAUCAAACAUUAUGGCAGUGACUUUUACAAUAAAUCUAGAGCUUUUUUGCAAUAUAUAUAUGGCAGACCUUUUUUUUGCAGCGGAUAGAUGUGAAGGGGAAAUGGAGGAGGACGUACCUUGAGGAGGAUUCUGAACAGAGUGCAGCGAUAUGCUCAUCGAGGGCUAUAUCGAACACUCAGUGGAAGUUCUUUUUAAUGCUUUAUCUUGAAAGGGUAACUAUAUACAUUCAACUGCAUAUGUGUUGUUCUUUUCAACUAAGAUACACUUUAGAGUUCCUCCGAGUAGUAGGAUGCCUGAGUAGUUCGUCAAGUGAUCUUUCCAUGUCAAGACAUGUGUUAUUCUAGAGAUAAUGCAUAUAUAUGCUGAAGAUAGACCUUUUGAUAGUUAAGGAUGCACGGGGUUCUAUCUUGCACUAAAAUUCAGUUUAUAAGAUGAAGCAUGUUUAAUUCACAUGUGGUGUCCAAAACUAAUGCGUGUUGAAAAAUAAUUAUUUUAAACAUUAAUAUGAGAUGGGAAUGUAUCUUCAAUAGUUUUUCCUGUUAAGAUCUAGGUGAGAGAGCAUCUGGAGGAGAUGGAGGAGACAAACAUCUCUCUAUAUCAUUCAUUUCAGCUCUACAUGCAAUAGGAUAUUGCCGUGGGAUGAAAAGAGAUAGUUCAAACAAGGAUUAUGCACCUCCUGUUGACCUGUGAUGCCCAUUAUCUACAUGCAAGAGCAGAACUAGAGUGACAAUCAUGCCAGAGUUAUAUUUCUGCACGGCACCGGACACUGAGCAGAAGAACUCUAGACACUCGAUGAUGUGCUCUUAGCAAUCACUUUCUUGGAUCAGUUAUAUGCUAUGGUUCCAUUGGAUUCUGAUUUGAUGCACACAUCAAAAUCAUGUGGAUUGAACACCAGAAACAUGCUUAAGAGGAGGCACUAUAAUAUUGUAAAUCAAACUUUCAUGACCAUUGUACAAUUCUGGUGAAGAGGGAAGAGGGACACUGGAACACCUAUUCUUCAUUUCUCCUUUGCUACUUAGUGGGAACAUAUUGCACAUAAAAUGGAAUCUUCAGCUCAACUGAUUUGAAGCUAUUACUGAAGCAAAGAAUUCUUUUCAAGGAGAGAUUUUGUUUGAAAUUUUUAUAAUUGAAGCCUGGGAUAUCUGGAAAGAAAGGAAUAAUUAUAUCUUCAAGGGCGUAAGGCCUUCCAGGGCUGUUUGGAGAGCUAGAGUGGCAGCUGAUCUGCACCUUUCUUAGAUACAAAGUCUCUCAAGACUUUCACUUUUUUAUACUUUUUGUUGUAGAUAGCAUCUGGACUUUGUAAUCCUGGGAUUCCAGAGGGUGUUACACCCAACGAUGUAAAUAUCUUUCCGUAUUAAUAUAUAUACCACAGGAGCCUCUCCUACUGUUUCA